AGAGCGAACGCUGGCGGCAGGCCUAACACAUGCAAGUCGAGCGCCCGUAGCAAUACGGGAGCGGCAGACGGGAUAGUAACACGUGGGAACGCGCCCUUCGGUUCGGAAUAACUCAGGGAAACUUGAGCUAAUACCGGAUACGCCCUUACGGGGAAAGAUUUAUUGCCGAAGGAACGGCCCGCGUCCGAUUAGCUAGUUGGUGAGGUAAUGGCUCACCAAGGCGACGAUCGGUAGCUGGUCUGAGAGGAUGACCAGCAUCACUGGGACUGAGACACGGCCCAGACUCCUACGGGAGGCAGCAGUGGGGAAUAUUGGACAAUGGGCGCAAGCCUGAUCCAGCCAUGCCGCGUGGAUGAUGAAGGCCUUAGGGUUGUAAAGUCCUUUUAACGGGGAAGAUAAUGACGGUACCCGUAGAAUAGCCCGGCUAACUCGUGCCAGCAGCCGC
rnacentral:rRNA from 1 species